rnacentral:rRNA from 1 species
UACGGAGGGUGCAAGCGUUAUCCGGAUUCACUGGGUUUAAAGGGUGCGUAGGCGGGCAGGUAAGUCAGUGGUGAAAUCUCCGAGCUUAACUCGGAAACUGCCGUUGAUACUAUUUGUCUUGAAUAUUGUGGAGGUAAGCGGAAUAUGUCAUGUAGCGGUGAAAUGCUUAGAUAUGACAUAGAACACCAAUUGCGAAGGCAGCUUACUACACAACGAUUGACGCUGAGGCACGAAAAGCGUGGGGAUCAAACAGG